UACGGGGGGGGCAAGCGUUGUUCGGAAUUACUGGGCGUAAAGGGCUCGUAGGUGGCCAACUAAGUCAGACGUGAAAUCCCUCGGCUUAACCGGGGAACUGCGUCUGAUACUGGAUGGCUUGAGUUCGGGAGAGGGAUGCGGAAUUCCAGGUGUAGCGGUGAAAUGCGCAGAUAUCGGGAAGAACACCCGUGGCGAAGGCGGCUCUCUGGGACGGUACUGACGCUGAGACGCGAAAGCGUGGGGAGCGAACAGG
rnacentral:rRNA from 1 species